rnacentral:RNase_P_RNA from 1 species
UGGGUCGGCUGGAUGGUCGCGUCGCGCAUGGUCCGCCAUGACGCGCCGAGGAACGUCCGGGCUCCAGAGGGCAGGGCGGUGGGUAACACCCACCCGGAGAGAUCCGCGAGACAGUGCCACAGAGAGCAGACCGCCGGCGCGAGCCGGUAAGGGUGAAAGGGCGGUGUAAGAGACCACCGGGGUCGUGGUGACACGACCCGCACGGCAAACCUCGCCCGGAGCAAGGCCAGACAGGGGAUGACGACGCGGCCCGCCGAGUCCCCGGGUAGGCCGCUGGAGCGGCACGGCAACGUGUCGCCGAGAGAGAUGACCAUCCACGGGGCGCAAGCCCCCGGACAGAACCCGGCGUACAGGCCGGCCCAUUCG